rnacentral:rRNA from 1 species
GUGCAUGGUUGUCGUCAGCUCGUGUCGUGAGAUGUUGGGUUAAGUCCCGCAACGAGCGCAACCCUUAUCUUCAGUAGCCAGCAAUUCGGUUGGGCACUCUGGAGAGACUGCCAGGGAUAACCUGGAGGAAGGUGGGGAUGACGUCAAAUCAUCAUGCCCCUUAUGAUUUGGGCUACACACGUGCUACAAUGGCGUAAACAAAGGGAAGCAGCCCUGCGAAGGUGAGCAAAUCCCAAAAAUAACGUCUCAGUUCGGAUUGUAGUCUGCAACUCGACUACAUGAAGCUGGAAUCGCUAGUAAUCGCGAAUCAGAAUGUCGCGGUGAAUACGUUCCCGGGUCUUGUACACACCGCCCGUCACACCAUGGGAGUCGGAAAUGCCCGAAGUCAGUGACCCAACCGCAAGGAGGGAGCUGCCGAAGGUGGAGCCGGUAACUGGGGUGAAGUCGUAACAAGGUAGCCGUAUCGGAAGGUGCGGCUGGAUCACCUC